GACGAACGCUGGCGGCGUGCUUAACACAUGCAAGUGGAGCGACGAACCAGGGCUUGCCCUGGGGCAAAGCCGCGAACGGGUGAGUAACACGUGGGUAACCUGCCCCGAUGACCGGGACAACCCGAGGAAACUCGGGCUAAUACCGGAUGCGCUCUCGAGCCACAAGGCUCGUUAGGAAAGAUAGCUUCGGCCUUCGCAUCGGGAUGGGCCCGCGGCCCAUUAGCUUGUUGGUGAGGUAACGGCUCACCAAGGCCGCGAUGGGUAGCUGGUCUGAGAGGACGAUCAGCCACACUGGGACUGAGACACGGCCCAGACUCCUACGGGAGGCAGCAGUGGGGAAUCUUGCGCAAUGCGCGACAGCGUGACGCAGCAACGCCGCGUGGGGGAAGAAGGCCUUCGGGUUGUAAACCCCUUUCAGUUGGGACGAAGGUUCGGCCGUUAAUAGCGGUCCGGACUGACGGUACCUUCAGAAGAAGCCCCGGCUAACUACGUGCCAGCCGCCGCAGUAA
rnacentral:rRNA from 1 species